UCCCUGGUGGCUCAGUGGUAAAGAAUCCGCCUGCAAUGCAGGAGACCCUGGUUCAAUCCCUGGGUGGGGAA
rnacentral:tRNA from 1 species